UAAAGUUACAGGGCUGCAGCUGCACUGCGUGGGUCUGAAGUGAGCCUAGGGCCCUUAGAUUUGGGAGGAUUUGUUUUGAUUUGUCUAGGGGUGUCAGGAAAGGUCGUGUGGGCUAGGGGAAGCACUUGUUUUAUCAUCAUCAUCAUCAUCAUCAUCAUCAUCAUCAUUAUGAUUAUGAUUAUGAUUAUAAUUAACUACCUCUCCUCGGCUUUCGAAGGCUAAGGGUUGGUAGAGCGAUUUGGACUAUAGCAAUGAUAUCAGAGGUCUGGUGCCCCCCCCAAAAAAAAAACCCUUCAUUUUUACAGAUGAAGAAUGAAGGCUGUUCUGGCUUUUCCAAUUACGUAGAAGAGUGAGGGCCUGGCUUUUGGAUGAAAGAAUGCUACCGUGGACGUGGAUGGGCUGGUGGGUGUGGACGAAGAGUACUGGUUCACCUCGCAUCUCUAAUACUUGUUCCCUAUGUGACUUUUGACCAGACUUUCCAAGCUCAGAAGAUAGAAGCAGUCCCUGCGAAGGUAGUUUCUAUAAAAGCACGUGGCAAAGACCACCCACCUGAGAGGAGACUUUCUGAAUAGUCUAUCUGAGCCUCAACUUCUGUCUAAUACACCGUUGCAGUUCAAGAACAAAGACUCUCCAUCCCGUGAUGCUACCCCAGCCCAGUAAUCUACCUGACAGAACUAGCACCUGUAGGUCAGUCAAUCGGUCUCUGAAGGACAUUGCUGAUAAAUGAGAUUGCCAAAAUCCUCUGGAUACACGUUCCUAGAUCUUGGACAGGAGCCUCUCUCCACCAACCAGAAGACCUUACUUCUCUUUAGAGUGUAAACAGAAUCUGAUCUAGGAAGAUUCUUGCCCUUAGGAAAUAAGCCUAUGUCAUUGUAUCCCUCCAUUGGAGUUUAGGGUAACCCAGCUCCUCUAGGAGAAAACCAACCAGAUUGGUCUGGGUAGAGAUGGGUUCCCCUCUCCAGAUUGUUGGGGCAGCUAAGUCAGUCUCAUGACCAAGCCACAUUCUCAACAAGAGGAGUGGAAGAUUUUUAGCCCACCUCCAUUAAUAUAUCUACCCCUCAUUAAUUGUUCACCAAUCAACGUUGAUUUUCACCUGUCAGGGGAACCUCCUUUUUC